rnacentral:rRNA from 1 species
UACGUAGGGUGCAAGCGUUAAUCGGAAUUACUGGGCGUAAAGCGUGCGCAGGCGGUUGUGCAAGACAGAUGUGAAAUCCCCGGGCUCAACCUGGGAAUUGCAUUUGUGACUGCACGGCUAGAGUGUGUCAGGAGGGGGGUAGAAUUCCACGUGUAGCAGUGAAAUGCGUAGAGAUGUGGAGGAAUACCGAUGGCGAAGGCAGCCUCCUGGGAUAACACUGACGCUCAUGCACGAAAGCGUGGGGAGCAAACAGG